AAAUUAGAGUAUUUAUGCCAAAAUAUCCUGUUAUAAUUAUAUAUAUGUUUUCUUUUUGUAUAGGAAUAUUGCUCAGCAAAUAGAUCCUGGGAGCUGGACUGAGAAGACAUGGCAUGAUAUUGGGGGCUUGCCACACCAGACCUGUGGAAAUGACUGUGGGAUAUUCAUGCUUAUGGUAUGGCCAGAGGUUUGCCUUCUGGACUGAUGAGGCCUGACGUUUGCUGCAGGGACAACUUGACCCAGUGUACAGGGCGGCAAGACCGAGUGGCAUCACUGAGGAUCGUCCACUACACAUGCAAGCUGUCACUGACCGCACUGCAGAGGAAAAGAGACAAGUGGACUUCAUCGUACAGUCCAAGGGACUUUACUUUGACAAUGUUCACUUAUUUUUUUCUCAUCAAAGGAACAUCAACAGAUGUAUCAUUUCACUAUGCCGGUCAUUUAUUGUCUCUCUUUAAUGUAUGUAUUUAAUGUCAGUUGUUCAAUGACUACCACACAACACACUCAUUCCAAUUCCCACUAAAUAAAUGUUUCUGUACAUUGAUUUGCCCAUAGGGUGUAUUCAAUGGAAAGCUUUCGUCCUGGUUUCCUCUGAAGACCUCUUCCCAGGUGCCUGUCUACCUCGACAGUGAGGAACUACAGGACACCCUUAUUGCCUCUCUGAAGGCAGUGCUGAACCGAACACCAACCAAACUGAGGUUCACAGAUGAAGUGCAGUACAUCCUUGGUGUUCUAUUUC